AUAUACAAGCCCAAAACGUGAAACAAGUCAGUUUAACAAUAUUUGCUAUAACAUUCUAAUCCUGCAAAUCCAUUUAUUUCUGAAAAUUGCAGCAAGAGCAAAUGUUGUACAUUGCCUUUAACAGUAGAGUGACCUUAAAAUCGGCCAGUUGAGGAAGAAGAAAAAAACCUGAGCAAAGAUAGUUUGAAUAUUAGAGCAGAUGCCAAAGUUGGUUACUGAGUUGGUGGAACAUUGGAGCUGUAUUGCCACGGUCUUGGGUUCAUAUCCAGGAAGCUGUCGAAUAUUUGUCUCUAAGUUCAAAUAAGUAUAUAUGUGCGGACUAUGCACCUACAUUUAGUCUGUCUUAUCUUAAUAAUUUCCACUGAGUUAAAGUUCUGUAGUUGAGAAUUGAAUUAAAAGUGUUUGUUCUCAUUUAUAGUAGAGAAUUUGGCCAAACAAAAAAUGUCCAUCUUAUGAAAAAAAUCAGAACAAACCUCACCCUAUAAAACAACUCUCAUUCUAGAUGUAGUUUAUAAGCAGACCAAAGUAAACCACAAAGGCCAAGAGCACCAACAGUUUCAAGUACCAUAUGACUUGGAGCACUACAGCUCAAUGCAGUUAACGACAAUGCAAUUAACGACCUAUUUACUAUAGGCCAAACUGAACACUUCAUAACACCACAAAGCUAUGAUAAAUUGUGUAUGUACAUAUCCCAAGCAGUUUAGUAAGUCGAUUUUCCUUGAACAAAAUUUGCACUUUUUACCUUAUUAGAGUGUCCAGUAAGGGAUACAUUUGUAAUGUGUAUUUAGUACAGGUCACAUCUGAAUUAAUUGGCUACGGCCUAUAUUUACACACAUGCCUAUGGAAGCAGCUGAAGCCAUAGCCCAUAGACACGUAUGUUCCUGACAGCCGUAGUAAUCAGACAUUGCCUUCCAUAGAACUUUUAUUCAAAUUACAUUAUCAAUUUGGAAUACUUCCAAGGGGAAAAUAUUAUUUUUUUGUAAUCCUUCAACAAUGCAAACAAAUAAGUGUUUAUUGUAAAAAAAAAAAUUGUUGACGAUAAUUUCUAGUUUUAGCUGUCCAAAUUUAAAAUAAUCUUAAUUGUUAAUAAAAUACCAAAAAACCUCUCUUGAGCAUUGUACAUACUUGACGAUCUCAAUGCUGAAUGUAGACUUUUUAUAUAUUUGUCUUCACAGAGUUUACUUAUAUUUUGUCCUUUUUAACCCACAUUUCUAGCUAAAAGUUUCAAAUGUCAUGAUGAAAGUCAUUCUAUCAUUGUAAAUUGUACAUAUAUCAACGUUUGUCUUAUGGUUCAGUAUAGCAGGUUUAGUCAAACCGGUAUACUGUUCUAUAGAGACACCAUUCUUUAAUAGCGCCGUACAAAGUGCGCAUUUGGUAUCAAUGUUAUGUAUCAGUGUUAUGUACAAAUGUUUACGUCGGUUUUAAAAUGUUCUGGUUUUCAGAAUGGAUUUUCUGAUUUUCUGGACUUGUUGAAUGGGAGGAUCCAGACCAUAAUAUAGAUUCUCAUAUGUGUAUGUACAUUUUUUUGUCAUCUGAAAAUUCAGAUGGUUUUCCAGUGUAACCUUAAGAAAUUCUGUUGCGCCUUCUGGCAAAAGUUUCUCCGAGAGAUGUAAAGAAGACAGUGUUGUGGCUUUUUGUUACUAAGCAAGUAAUGUCAAUUUGUUUUUGCACUGUCAAUUACGUGAGCGUAAGGUGUUACCUUGUGGAACCAGGUGUAUAUAAGUCUUAACAGCAAGGGGGAGGUGUCGACAUGUGACAGGUCCCCUGUGUAGGGCUCUCGUCAAGUUAAAGCCAAGGUGAUAAGUCGAGAAAUUGUAAGCAGCAUCGCUGAUCUCCAGCGUGUUCUCAGUUCCAGACGACACCUGUCACAAGCUUGGAGCAUAGAGCAGUGUGAGAAAUCUUGCUGAAAGUCAAAAUCUUGUUAGUUUUCUGAUGUCAUGUGAGACACUUCAAAGGCUUGCUUUAAAGUGCAAGACCAUCUUUGUGGUGUGUGCUUUUGUUCUAUAGAGAUACCAUGAGUAGACCUCUCGUGCAUUCAGUUACUGAGUAUAAAUAACAUAACACACCUCAAAUAUGGUUUCCGAAUGCAAAGAGUCAAAAUGGGUUGUGUACUUGUAGGAUUUUGUGGUAAUAGAGCCCAGGUUGUAAAAGGCACACAACUCUAAAUUUAAAAACGUUCAGAUCAUUUUUGAUUUGUAUGGUGAGGUUAAAAAAAAUUCUUUUUUUGUCAGCUUGUGACGUUUCCGAGAGAAAGAAUAUUCUUUAAAUUUUGAGCAGUUUCUUUUUUUUUCUAUAUAAAUCAAACUCCAUAUAUUUUUGUCUUUGUAUUUUUCUUGAGUUUGUGUAUAUUUUCAGGAGGUACUCACUGUAGUGUUGCAUCAGUGACUGUUCUUUUAUUGGUUAUUAUAUUUUGAUUUACAUUAUCAAUUUUUAAAAAAUUAUAUGUUGAAAAAGAAAUUAACAUGAUCAAAAUGAAAUUAAUGAUUUGCAACUGAAAUUGACGUCUGUACAUAUGUAAUUGAUCAGCACGACUUCUAUCCAUGUGCAUGAAAAUAAUGCUAGUUUGCUGUGAAACUUUACCAAAAGAGUAGGAGUGUUUAUAAUGUGUUAGAUAUCUGCUAGAAGUUAUCAAGAUUGUUAUAUUCUGAAGAAAUUCUGUUUGGCAGAAGGGACUAUUUGUAAAAAUUGGUUUGCGCUUUACUAAUAACCAGUGUUUACUGGAUGGCCAUAAUGAAAUUUACAAUAAAACCAAUGCACCUGAAUUUUUGAGAAAAACAAAAUAAUUUUGUGGAGAAAAAUAACCAUCUCUGUAUUCAAAAAGGUAUAUUUUGAACACUUAAAAAAUAGAUCGAGUGUAUAUUCGUUGUAUUUUACAAUUAUAGGAUUGAUAAAUUUAUAAUUUCUAUUCCCCCCCCCCCAUUUUUGAACUCUAUAAAGAAAAGUAGAUAGGUUCUCUGCAUUGCUUAUUUUACUUCAAGCGAUGAUUGUAAUAAGCGAGAAAAAAAGUAUCAACUAUAAUGUGUAAGCUAAAAAUUAAGCACCUAUGUCGUGUUGUAAAGGAUUUGUAAUAAAUUGUUAUUUUCUGAGCUGAUUAUUUUGUUCAUAUCUUGGGUUGAAAUUUGUUUAAAAUAAAACAAAUGGCAUUUAAAAUGAAAUUGUAAAACGUUGAGUGGGGAAAAAAUAGAAUUGGACAACGAUUCGAAAAUGAUUGUUAAUUGUUACUUUUGUCUCCAUUAAUUUUGAUAAAUCCAUCUGUAUAUAAGCCUAAGAUUGUGUCAGUGUCCAAGACUUUAACUUAAUUUAGAAAAUUGAUAAAUUUUUAAAAUCUAUUUGCCAUCCACCCUCUCCAGAAGUGACGACAUUUUAAAUUUUGUUUUCAAUAUUUAUUUGUCGGUGCUUAGUGGUAAUAUUCUUUUGGGAAAAGAAUUAAUAUUUGAGUACAUUGUUAUUAAAGAAAUAACCUUGCUAUUAAAGAAAAUCUUUAACUCCUUUUCUAUUUGAUUUGGUCUUUUGAAAUGAAAAACAUAAAUUUAUUUGAGAUGACUAAGCCAAGCAAUUGGUUUAAUACAUCGAAUGAAGAAGCAAAUCCUGUGUUUAAAAGAAAAUCAUAUUUAUAUUGAUUCCUUAUUAUUUGUACGAAAAUGUUGAUUUUGCAAGUUUUUCCCCCCUUCUUUCUUCAACUGUAUUGUAUAUAAUUGCAGCACUAUAAAUAUGCAUAUCACUGCAAACUGAUGAACAAGGGCAUGGAAUGAAAUAAAAUCAAGAUUUCAUUAAA
rnacentral:lncRNA from 1 species